GUGGGCCGAGUGGAGCUGCUCGCUCAGGUGAAGCGUCACAGGGACCAGUGGCUACUCAGGAACGUCUGAAAUCAAGUGUUACAGACCUGUUAAAUCAACCACACCUGAAUUUGGACUAUUUACAGUACAUUGUAGAUCAAGAAGCAUUUAUUCUGACAGCUGCCUCCAGUACUUUAAACAUGCCAGCUGAAAUUGUGGACUGUCUUUUAUCCCUGCAAAGUAAGAUCCAUGCAGCUGUUUCCCAAGAGAGUCCCUGUGCUUUUAUUAGAGCUGGAGGACGAGGACGACCAAAGUUCAUUUUUCUGAGGAGCUUCUGUCCCAGCUCAUCGACGUCCCCUUACCAGUGUUUUGCAUCGCAAAUCUGUUGGGUGUCAGCCAAAGCACAUUCUUCCGGCGUAUGCGUGAACCUGGGUUGUCCACAAGGUCUACAUAAAGCAGCUUAACUGAUAGUGAACUGGAUGAUGCUGUGCUGUCCAUCAAACGCAGGAUAUAGAAUGGUUAAAGGCUGUCUGCAAGCAGAUGUUCAGAUGGAGUUCAGUGGGACCGCAUCAAGGAGUCCAUGCACAGUCGAUGCUCCAGGAGUUUUGGAAAGGAUGACACGGCUGGGGUGCACAGUAAGGAGGACAUACUCUGUGCAGGGGCCUUUGUCAUUAGUCCAUGUGGACACAAACCAUAAGCUUAUACGGUACAACAUUGUCAUAUUUGGUGCAAUAGAUGGGUACUCGAGAAAGAUUUUCUAUCUGGAGCUGCUCAAACACUGCUCAUUCAGUGGAAAACUAUGGCUGGCCUUCCAGGUAAACAAUGAUAAACUUGUGCUAUUGUUUCCAUGCCCUAAUUACUAAUUUCAGUAAUAUUUGAUGGAACAUUUUGUUGUGAUGAAUAUGGCUGAACAUUUCUCACAUGUAUUUUCAAUACAUGUCUUCCUUCCAGGUCUGGCAGAGUCCCUUCACACUUUCACAGAAGGCUGGCACAACCAUCCCAAACCAGCUCUGGGUUUUGGGUCACAUGGAGAACCAUUGUGACCCGAACAAAGAUUUGCAGAGACACGAUUCCAGUGUAUCCGCAGGUCACAAUAUCGUCAACCAGGUCACUGAUGUUGUCAUUACCGCCGCUGUUUAUCUGAAAACAGAGUAGGUGUCAAGUGAAAUUAAGUUGCAUUGUAUCAUUGUUCUCUAAAGGCAACAAAACAAAAAAGAAAUUGUGUAAGCCAUAUACAGCUACAUACUUAUAUUGGAAAUACUCUGCAUACUGUGAACACUAUACUUACUCAGCUGUACUGCUCUUCCUUUUUUUCAUUUUUUAUCUUCA